rnacentral:hammerhead_ribozyme from 1 species
AUCCAGCUGACGAGUCCCAAAUAGGACGGAACGAGAGUCCUGAAU